ensembl:lncRNA
CAUCUCUGAACUUCAGUAGGUUUGUCUUCUUGCUGCAGGACAAAUGGAAAAGGCAAAAUGAAGCAGGGGCAGUCCAGGAGGCUGCCCAGGCCUCAAACUGACAUUGACUCUGACCUGGGCUCCAACCUUGAUUCUGAGGGCAAAGUGGAAAGAGGUCCCCCCUUGAUGAUGGUCCUGGUGAGCCAAGCUCCCACAGACUCACAGAUAGUCACUGAAUUUGCAUUGAUAUUGAGAAAUAACAGCUGACAGUUGCCCUGGGCAAUUGGGCGAGGCUGAGCUGAGGAACAGGUGUGGGGGAGGCGCCUUGUUCUCUGAAGCCCCCCACUGGUUGAAUCUAUGACACUUGGGCUAAGGGGCCUGGGAUUUUGCUGACCAACGUCUCUCCGUGUUGGAGGGGAAGAAGAUUGCCCAAUGAGCAAGGAACCAAAAUAAAGAAACUUAAGGACUUCCUAGAACUUAAGCACUUCUUAUCUUCUUGAUAAGAGAGAUGGAGGCAUGGCCUCAUUCAGGAAACUGUCAUCUCAGUCCACUUCACCUGGACUGCAGCUCCAGACACCUGGGGACACGUGCUGCCCGCCUGCCUCGGGGACGCUCAUCGUGGGCUUGCCAGGAUCCACAAGAAGCCUGGAGAAGCCUCAAGACAGGGCUGCAAGAGGGGCGAGCAGGAUGGGAAGGUGCCGGACUUGGGGGCAGAAUGUGUAAAUUAUUUGAACUCUACCGUUGGGUGCCAUGCAGGACUGAAGUUCAGGGCUUAUAGUAAAAUGUGAGAGGAAAGAGACAAAUUGAAGAAGGAACCAGAACUUGAAGAUUUGGAAAAUUCUCAACCUAUCCACAUUGCAAAAAAUGAGAAAGCAUGCUCUGGAGAGCACACUAAGACUGCAGCUUUGGGUUUGUGACUUAUGGAUCCGAUCAGCCAUCUCAGCAGAAGCGAGGAAUAGAAAUGGGCUUAUCCAGGAAAGACCUGUGAAGGACCCUCUUCUCUGAUGGCUUGAAUCCAUCAGACUCAUCUCAAGGCCCUUGAGAAUUUUCUACCAGCAGAAAUGCUCCCAGCUUGUACUGCAGGGGACAGAGGUGGGAUGAAAUGGAGGAAGGCUGUUGGAGUUCUGGGACUCGACAGAACAGGACAACAGAGCUGUCUGGCUGCAAACAUGUCUUAUGCUUCAGCAAAAGAAAAGAAUGAACCUGAAGGCAGUUCAAGGUUGACAGGGCUGCCACUGCCACACUGGCCCAACGGCACAGGCCUGGGGGGCAAAGCUGUCUCCUCCUCUAUUUCAGAGGGGUCAGAGCCUCUGCCCAGGGCCAAGGAGUGAGGGCCACUACCCUGGUGGGCCCAGAAGGCAGAGCUUGGAGCCAAAGAGGCUUAUUCUUGAGCCUUAAUAUCAAAUGGAAUUUGCCCUGUUAGGUUUCAGACUCGCUUGGGACUGUCACCCCUUUCUUCUUUCUAAUGUUUCCCUUUUGGAAUGAGAAUGUCUAUCCUAUGUCUGUCCCACCACUUUAUUUUGAAAGCACUUAACUAACGUGUUAUCUGGUUUUAUAGGUUCACAGCUUGAGAAGAAUUUUAUCUCAGGAUGAAUGUAUGUCUCACACAUACCUGACUGAGACGAUAUUUAGAUGGGAUUUUGGACCUAUAGUUAAUGCUAGAAUGAGUUCAGAUCUUUGGGUCUGCUGGGAUUGGGCAAAUGUAUUUUGCAUGUGAGAAGGACAUCAAUUUGGAGGCCAGAAAGCAGAGUGUUAUCGGCUGAAUGGUGUCCCAUGAAAUUCAUAUGUCGAAGUGCUAAUCCCCAGGACCUCAGAAUGUGACUGAGUUUGGAGACAGGGCCUUUAGAGAGGUGAUUACAGUUAAAUGAAGUCAUUAGGGUGGGCCUUCAUCCAACAUGACUGGUGUCCUUAUAGGAAGAGGAGAUUAGGACACAGACAUGCACCGAGGGAAGGCCAUGUGAGGACACAGGGAGAAGACGGCCAUCAACAAGCUAAGGAGAGAGGCCUCAUAAGGAACCAACACCUUGAUCCCUACUGACACUUUGAUCUCAGACUUCCAGCCUCCAAACUAACAUGAAGCUGAUGCCCUCAUGGAUCCCAAAAGCUACAUGCACAGCUCAGCUUGGCCUCCUGCCAGCCCCAAGCCAGAUGUCCAUGGAGAGUGUGCGUGUGUGAGGACGUCCACAGGGAGGCCUCUGGCACUGGACAGGGCCCCAACAGUCACGUUCCACGAUGAGCUCCCCAGCAUCCUGUGCUUCCAACACUCCUAACAUGUACUCAGGCAUCCAUUGGUGAGCACAGGAAAGCAUGGACUCUCACUGCACACAAGGUUAACCCAAAAGCCACUAGGUAUCCAGACUAGUGGGCUCCCAGCCCUGGCAGGCUCUGAGGAUGCAGAUCAGUCUUGAGGAGGAUGGGUUGGUAAGUAGGGGGCACCCAGAAGAGGUUUGGGGUGGGGGGGGUGGUAUGAGCAGCGUGAAGUCACCUGGAGAGAGCAGGAGCCCUAGGAAGGGCCCUUCUCACACCCGGGACUCCAGCCCAUUAGCCUCCUCAGCCUGAGGGCAGCCUGGUGGGAAGGAGAUGAAGCUGUGAUUCCAGGGAGAUCCCAUUACUCCCAGGAACUUCCCCAUCCCAAGACCACUUCCCAACCUGCCUCCUUCCUCCUUUCACAGGGACUUAGCUGGCUUCCUAAAGUACAUACAUGUCUGGGUCUUUCCAAAGCACCAUUUGUGGGAAGACAUUAUGGAAAGGGCCAAGCAAGAGGCUGUGGGCAGGGACUUCGUUCAUGUAGGAAUCUGUGGGGUCUCCUCAUGGGAAAGUCCACUCUUUUGAGGGGACAGGGAGAUGGAAGAGCUCAGACUUGGUGGCCUGACAGGGCUGGGAGCCCAUCUCAGCUGUCACUUCCCUGUGUGAAGUGAUUUGCCUCACAUGGUGCUGUGAGCAAACAGGUAAACUGCUCAGGCCCUUGCAAGGGACAGAAUGUAACAGCUGUGGAGAGUGGCCCGUGGACUGCGAGUCCAGUGCAAAACCAGCUCUACCUUUCUUGCUUAUAUCCUACUCUUGGCAGCCAUCAGCCAGAGCCGACCUACACGCCAAAAGGAAAGGAGAGGCUGGAAAGUUUAGUUCAACAAGGGUCAGGUGGCCUGAGCGCCGACUAUCAGUCAGGCUUGUCUUGGCAAUGAGAAACAAUUAUGCUAAAAAGUAUUAUAAUAAACUUUAAUAAAAAAUACACUUUGAUACAAUAAUGUCAACUGACACUUGCGUAGCUCUUGUACUAGAUUCAAUAACGGCCAUCCAGAGAUAUUAGGUCCCAUCCCCAGGAGCUGAGCCACAGGCCCAGAGGGUGGAGCCUCAAGCCACAAAGGAUCAUCCCAAGACCUGAUUGAACCUGAUCGAAUCUGCCCUGUGGGUUUUCCAGAUUGAUUGGGACUGGUGACUCCUUUCGUUUUCCCCCGUUUGGAAUGAGAAUGUCUAUAACUGUUUUCUAUGCCUGUCCCACCACUUGUAUUUUGGGAAUAAAUAACUUAUUUUCUAGUUUCACGGGUCCAGAGGUGGCGAGAAUUUUCCUCCAGAAUGGACCAUAUCCAGAUUCUCACCCAUACGCGAUUUAGAUGAAGUGAUUUGGGACUUCUGAGCUGCUGAGAUUUAGAUGAGAUUUUUUUCACCUUGAAUUGAUGCUGUAAUGGGUUGAGACUUUCGGGGAUGUUGGGAUGAGGUGAAUAUAUUUUGCACACGGAAUAGACACAAAUCUUUGGGGUCCAGAGGAUGGACUGUGUUAGGCUGAAUAAUGGCCACUCAGAGACAUUAAAUACUAAUUCCUGGAGCCUGUAAAUAUUAUUUUAUAAGCAAGAAAGUUCUUUAAAGUUGUGACUAAUUUAAGGAUCUUGAUGGAGAGAUGAUCCUAGACUGUUCAAGUGGGCCUAAAUCCAGUCACAAAUGUCCUUAUAAAAGAGAGGCAGAGGGCGAUUUGACACACACAGAAGAGAAGGCGAUGUGAAGAUGGAGGCAGAAAUUCGAGAGACGUGGCCACGAGCCAAGGAACACCAAGGAAUGGCAGCAGCCACCUGAAGCCAGAAGAGGCAGGGAACAGAUUCUCUCCAGAGCCCUUAGAGGGAGUGUGGCCCUACCAACAGCUUGACUUCAGACUGCCGGCCUCCAGAGUGAAGAAAUUUCUGUUGUUUUAAGCACCAAGGUUUUGGUAAUUUGUUACAGCAGCCGUAGGGGAUGAACACAGUACUUUACAAAGCAUUUUCACAGACUUCAUCCCAUUGGAUGAUGCAAAGUGCUCAGCAGAGUCUGACACCUGGAAAGAGUCCAGCAGUUGGUUGACAUGACUAGACCCUUAUGGCCGCAAGUGAAGUAGCUUUCUGUAAAAUGUGAAGAACCCAAGGCUCAAGGGGGAUCCAUGAUUUGCUCAAGAUCAUAGUAAAUAACAGAGCUUGGAUUGGAAUUCAGAAGUCCUGGCUCCACGGCCAAGGUUCCUCUUACCGUACGAGAGCUUCCUCCUGCGGAUUUGUGGCCUAUCACUGUGAUGCCCAGGUCCUGCCCUACCUCCUUUACGUGCAGCGUCAGCCUGAGGGAACAGAGCGUGUGAGGCAGGAAAGGGCUGAGGGUGCCCUUCCCACAGUGGCCCUGCGCAGGUGGUUCACCUGGAGGGAAUUCUGCCUCCCCACACUCUCCCAGUCUGCCCUCUGUCUCUCCACACCAGGCAGGAGGCUCUGCUCCAGCACAGGGCACUUCAGAGUCAGGGUUCUUCCUGACCUGAUCACAGCUUACCUGUCCUGUAUCACAGUCCUUCUUUGCUUAGGUGACAGAUAAACUCAGAUGGGCUACAGCCAAGGGCUUGAUCUGAGACAAUAUUCAUGACCACAAAGGUUUACCAUUUGCACAGUUCUUUUCAAAUUUCAUUUUGCUUGCUGUUCCUCACAACGGCAGGGAGAAACUAGAACUUAUUUCCUUGAAUUGGAAGGAAAGAAGGGAGUUGUUCUUCAAGCUGCCCUCGCCCAUGCAUUUGGAAAGGACAAAACCAGACGCUCUCGUGUGACCUGCCACAGGUUCCUACCCUUUCCAUUAAAACCUGUUUGCUCCAUUCUUCCACGAUGCCAGCCCCACAAGGAUAAUGUGCUGGGCACCUGUCAACAUUGAAUAUGGAGAAACUCCUAGAAGUUCCAACUGCCCUCAAAAUCUCUCCGAGGCCUAAAAUCCCCUCUCUAGUAGUUUCCUGUUGCUCCUGUAACAACUCACCUCAAAGCUGGUGACUUAGACAAGGCAAAUGUAGCAUCUUACAGCCCUGGAGGUCAGGAGUCUGACACGGCUCUCGCUGGGCUAAAAUCAGGGCGCCUGCAGGGCCUGUGCUCCCUUCUCGAGGCUGUGGGGAGGGUUCCACGGCUGUGCCCUUCCCCGCUGCAGAGCUUGUCCGCAUCGCUUGGCUCACGGACCCUUCCAUCUUCAAAGCCAGCCACGCUGCGCCUCUUCUUCUUCCUCCACAGCCACAAACGCCCCUGUGAACACUCUUAGGAAAGGCUCUCCCUUAUGAAGACCCUCGUGAUUCCACUGCCGCCUGGGUGAUCCAGCACAGUCUCUGCAUCUCAAGAUCAGCUGACUGGCACCUUAACUCCAUCUGCCAUCUUAACUCCUGUCGCCACAUCAGGUGACAUACUCACAGGUUCUAGGGAUUAGGAGGUGGACAUGUUUGGGGGUCAUUAUUCUCCCUGUCAUCUCUUCCAUUAAAGCACCACAUCUUGAAAGGCCAUUAGCAAAGGGAGGGUGUUCCCUGGCAGGGGUGACAUGUUAACUGCUGACACCCACUAGCCCAGGGGUCACGAGAGGGGUGCUGGUGAUCAUUUAAUGAGAGACUGCGAUCCCGGGAGGGCCCACAGAAGGCCACAGUAGGAAGGUGGUGGUGGUGGGGGGUGCCCUGUGUGCUCACAGGUGGACGCAGCUUUAGGAAAGGAAGAGGAACGAACAGCCUCUGGGCUUUGAGAGGUUUGGAUUUCCUGUGUGAGGGAAAGCUGAAGCGCAGGGGAGGACCUGGGAGACACCUGUUGAGGAAAAGCCCCAGAGAAGGGGCAGGUGAAGGUGUUCUCAAAUUAGCUGUUCUGGUAGAAAGUCAUCAGCUCCAGCUAAGCCAGGGCUGCAAGAACACACUCUGCUGGCUCCAGAGUCGGGAAGCCCCUCGGCCUUCUCGCCCUCCAGCUGGAAGAUGCCAGCUUUCCCACGGUGACACCCUGGACUCGGGCUCUGGAAAUACAGACCCACGACCCACUGAGCAGGGGCCACCGACAGGGUGAGAGUGACAGAGCCAGGCAGCACAGCCAGAGGCCAGGGGGAGGAGCUGGAGAACCCGCCCAGCCCAGGGAGCUGAAAAGCCCUGGAGGGUCAGGGUGGCCUCCUGUCUCUGUCCUCCGGAGCCCAAGGCCCUCCCUUGAACUCUGAACUUCCACCAGAAAAAAAAAAUUGAAUAAUGGCUUUAUUAUCCCAAUUUGAAAAAAAGUAAUAGCUGGGGUUUCUUCCCAGGAUGCAGCUUUUCUCCCACGAAUGUGUCCAUGCUUAGCAUCCGGAGUGGGUGUCUGGGGCAGCGAUAUUUUCAGUAACUGCAGUGCGUUCUCCAGCCUGUGCCGCGGCCCCCAGGCCUGACCCUGAACCACAGAGAACCGCUCUUCCAAGGCCAGAAAGGGCUCCGCGAGGCUGGCCCCAGCGGCUCUGAGGUUCCUGAGGUCCUCAGCCAGCGGGCGCCCUGCGGGCUUCGGGGGCUGCUUUAAAUGUUGAGUCAAGAGGCCCAGCCAGGCUCACCACCGAGACCCGAGAUGGGGAAUGAGCUGCUCGCGGACUCAGAGCAGCGAGCACAGGUCGGCGAGCAGAGCAGGCCGGCAGCCUCCGUGUGGCCCUGGGGUCGGUGCUCCUCAAGGGAGGGAUCUGACUGUGGGGGGCGGGAAGUCACAAAGCCUCCUCUAUACCACAAGGUCUCUGACUAAAACCCGGGUAUCCCCAGUCAACAAGUGCCCGGGGCACCCACCUCUAGGUCCUCACAUGCUGGAGCUGUCAGCAGUCUGGUGGCUUCCUUCCAGACUCUUCCCUGGAGCUCUGGUGAGCUCACUUCAGGCCUCCGGAGGCUCUCUCGGCUUUCCCCUUCCUGAGGGAAGCCGCUUCCCAGGUGGGAAGGCAGCUAUUCCUCUGUGCACACUCCGCCACCCCCUCCUCGGCAGCACAGGCUCUCCCUUGAGGCCGGAGUGGGGAAGGAAACAGAGGCAGGAGGAGUCAGACUUCGAAUGUUCUCUUCUCUUAACUUAAAUUGCUUUUUAUAGAAGCUACAACUACCCCGAAUGUUGUGUUGCUUUGUGUAUUUUCUAAAUGGUUUCAUCUGGUGAAAUCAGAUUUUCCCAAAUCAGUGAAAAUCUACCUGAAGCCCCAUCUUUGUGAUGCGGUGUAAUAACGGAGGGUACGUGCCAUGGAUUCAGGCUGCAUGAAUUCACAGCCCUGGCUUUAUCACUGACUAGUGUGAUUUUGACCAAGUUACUUAACCUCUCUGUGCUUCAAUUUCUUCAUCUGUAGAUUAGUGAUACUAAUAGUACCUACAUCAUAGGGUUGUUGUUACGAUUAAAAAGAGCACACUUAGGGCUGGCCUGGUGGUUAAGUUUGCGUGCUCUGCUUUGGCGGCCUGGAGUUUGCUAGUUUGGAUCCCGGGUGUGGACCUAUGGCACCGUUUAUUAAGCCAUGCUGUGGCAGGCGUCCUGCAUAUAAAGUAGAGGAAGAUGGGCACAGAUGUUAGCUCAGGGCCAAUCUUCCUCAAAAAAAAUAAAAAUAAAAAGAGCACACUUGCCUGUCUUCAACACUGUCUCCACCCAAUAGCUAAAGUGAUUUUCAAAAAAGAGAGCACACAUGAAAAAAUGCUCAACCUCAAUAAUUAUUAGGGAAGUGCAAAUUGAAACCACAAUGAGACACCAUUCAAACCCUCUAGGGUGGCUAUAAUAAAAAAGACACAAUAAUAAGUGUUGAGAAAGAUGUGUAGAAACUGGAGCCCUCAUACGUUAAUGGUAGAAAUGUAAAAUGUACAGCUGCUUCGGAAAACAGUCUGUCAGGUCCGCAAAAGCUUAGCUAGAAAGUUACUAUAUGAUGCAACAAUUCUACGCCUAGGCGUCUACUCAAGAGAAAUGAAGAUACAUGUCCACACAAAAACUCAUACAGGAACGUUCAUAGUAGCACUAUUCAAAUAGCCAAGAGGUGGCAAUAGCCCAAAUAAAGUGAGCUGUAUACAUACAGGGGACUCUCAUUCAGCCAUAAAAAGGAGUGAACUGCUGACACUGCCACAACAUGGAUGAACCUUGAAAAUAUCAUGCUGAGUGAAAGAAGCCAGCGACAAAUAAAAAUGGCAAGCAAUAGGAUAUAUUGGAGCAUAUGAGGAAGCCAUUUGGUAUAAACAUAAUUCGGCCUGACUUUGUUUUUCCAAAAGGGCCUGACUGUGGCCAUUGAGCACGCAUUGCAUAUCUGCUUAGACAUUUCCUAUGGCCAGAACAAAGGCCCUUGAGAUAAAGGUGCAACUUCCCCCCACAUUAGCAUUUCUCCUUAGGCUAGGAACUGAUUGCUGCACUCACCUUUGACCACCCAGCUCACCUGUGACCACUCAGCUGGAGACAACAGACUGCCACCCUGCUGUGUUCACUGAGACAGAAGACCUACCUACUGUUUCCAUCAAUCGCUGUGCCCACAGAGCAGUCUCGCGACUAUUGUAAAAGGGACAUUUCAAUCCUAUGUGAAACAUCCUCUCUCGGGGUAUAUAACCACUCUGUGCACCCCACUUCUUUGGUGCCCUUUCUUCCUUCGGGAAGAAAGGCCCCAGGUUAUAAUCCUCAGAUUUAAGCUCAGAAUAAACUCACCCAAAUUUUCAUUUAUAGAUUGGUUAUGGAUUAUUUUCGUCGACACCCGUCACAAAGGACCACAUAUUGUAUGAUUCCACUUAUAUGAAAUGUCCAGGAGAAGCAAACCUAUACAUAAAGAAAGUAGAUCGGCGGUUGCCUACAG